rnacentral:rRNA from 1 species
AUGGGGUGACUGCGUACCUUUUGUAUAAUGGGUCAGCGACUUAUAUUCUGUAGCAAGGUUAACCGUAUAGGGGAGCCGAAGGGAAACCGAGUCUUAACUGGGCGUUAAGUUGCAGGGUAUAGACCCGAAACCCGGUGAUCUAGCCAUGGGCAGGUUGAAGGUUGGGUAACACUAACUGGAGGACCGAACCGACUAAUGUUGAAAAAUUAGCGGAUGACCUGUGGCUGGGGGUGAAAGGCCAAUCAAACCGGGAGAUAGCUGGUUCUCCCCGAAAGCUAUUUAGGUAGCGCCUCGUGAAUUCAUCUCCGGGGGUAGAGCACUGUUUCGGCUAGGGGGCCAUCCCGGCUUACCAACCCGAUGCAAACUGCGAAUACCGGAGAAUGUUAUCACGGGAGACACACGGCGGGUGCUAACGUCCGUCGUGAAGAGGGAAACAACCCAGACCGCCAGCUAAGGUCCCAAAGUCAUGGUUAAGUGGGAAACGAUGUGGGAAGGCCCAGACAGCCAGGAUGUUGGCUUAGAAGCAGCCAUCAUUUAAAGAAAGCGUAAUAGCUCACUGGUCGAGUCGGCCUGCGCGGAAGAUGUAACGGGGCUAAACCAUGCACCGAAGCUGCGGCAGCGACACUAUGUGUUGUUGGGUAGGGGAGCGUUCUGUAAGCCGUUGAAGGUGGCCUGUGAGGGUUGCUGGAGGUAUCAGAAGUGCGAAUGCUGACAUAAGUAACGAUAAAGCGGGUGAAAAGCCCGCUCGCCGGAAGACCAAGGGUUCCUGUCCAACGUUAAUCGGGGCAGGGUGAGUCGACCCCUAAGGCGAGGCCGAAAGGCGUAGUCGAUGGGAAACAGGUUAAUAUUCCUGUACUUGGUGUUACUGCGAAGGGGGGACGGAGAAGGCUAUGUCGGCCGGGCGACGGUUGUCCCGGUUUAAGCGUGUAGGUGUGUGCUCCAGGCAAAUCCGGUGCACUUUAACACUGAGGCGUGAUGACGAGGCACUACGGUGCUGAAGUGACAAAUGCCCUGCUUCCAGGAAAA